AUUGAACGCUGGCGGCAUGCCUUACACAUGCAAGUCGAACGGCAGCACGGGAGCAAUCCUGGUGGCGAGUGGCGAACGGGUGAGUAAAGUAUCGGAACGUGCCCAGUCGUGGGGGAUAACGUAGCGAAAGUUACGCUAAUACCGCAUACGAUCUAUGGAUGAAAGCGGGGGAUCGGAAGACCUGGCGCGAUUGGAGCGGCCGAUAUCAGUUUAGGUAGUUGGUGGGGUAAAGGCUCACCAAGCCGACGAUCUGGAGCUGGUCUGAGAGGACGACCAGCCACACUGGGACUGAGACACGGCCCAGACUCCUACGGGAGGCAGCAGUGGGGAAUUUUGGACAAUGGGCGAAAGCCUGAUCCAGCCAUGCCGCGUGCAGGAUGAAGGCCUUCGGGUUGUAAACUGCUUUUGUACGGAACGAAAAGGUUUGGCCUAAUAAGCUGAGCUCAUGACGGUACCGUAAGAAUAAGCACCGGCUAACUACGUGCCAGCAGCCGCCGUAA
rnacentral:rRNA from 1 species